rnacentral:rRNA from 1 species
GACGGAGGAUGCAAGCGUUAUCCGGAAUGAUUGGGCGUAAAGCGUCCGCAGGUGGCAAAUCAAGUCUGCUGUUAAAGCGCAGGGCUUAACUCUGUAAAGGCAGUGGAAACUGAUUAGCUAGAGUGUGGUAGGGGCAGAGGGAAUUCCCAGUGGAGCGGUGAAAUGCGUAGAGAUCGGAAAGAACACCAACGGCGAAAGCACUCUGCUGGGCCGACACUGACACUGAGAGACGAAAGCUAGGGGAGCGAAUGGG